rnacentral:rRNA from 1 species
GAUGAACGCUAGCGGCAGGCCUAACACAUGCAAGUCGAGGGGUAGAGUUCUUCGGGACUUGAGACCGGUGCACGGGUGCGUAACGCGUAUGCAAUCUACCUUAUACAGGGGAAUAGCCCCAGAGAAAUUUGGAUUAAUGCCCCAUAGUGUUAUCGAAUCGCAUGGUUUGAUAACUAAAGUUCCAACGGUAUAAGAUGAGCAUGCGUCCCAUUAGUUAGUUGGUAAGGUAACGGCUUACCAAGACAAUGAUGGGUAGGGGUCCUGAGAGGGAGAUCCCCCACACUGGUACUGAGACACGGACCAGACUCCUACGGGAGGCAGCAGUGAGGAAUAUUGGUCAAUGGGCGCAAGCCUGAACCAGCCAUGCCGCGUGCAGGGAAGACGGUCCUAUGGAUUGUAAACUGCUUUUUAUACAGGAAGAAACCCUCCACGUGUGGGAGCUUGACGGUACUGUAGGAAUAAGGAUCGG